rnacentral:lncRNA from 1 species
CAUGUAUAUGAGCUGGUUUGAGAGUGUCAUAAGACACACAUGAGGAAAUAGGAUAUACACACAUAUGAGAUUUCACUGGUUGUGUCACAUAAUCUUGCAGCCAUAAGGGUGGUUUGCUAGGUCUUGAUGAUCUUCUAAGGUUCAUGGAAGGAGCCUGUGAAGACUCUGGAACACUAGGCUCAACAACAGAAGGAGAGUACCCUAAAGAAGUGGGUUCCUCUGAAUGAUGGGGAAUAUGUGGUGCAUCAGUUGGGAAUGUGUCCAUAGUUGGACUCUGAGAUGAAGCAGGAGACAAAGGAGGAUCGUAAGGUUCAGGGAAAGACAACAU